ensembl:lncRNA
UUCUCCAGCCUCUCUGUGCCGCUGCCAUCGCACAAUGGAGCCUUUGUGUGUGUGUGUGUGUGUGUGUGUGUGAGAGAGAGAGAGGGCUGAGCUCCUGUUCAACUGAAACUGUCCAACCUUACCCCAGCAGUGGGAACUUGUUUGUGGUGAGGUCACCCAGAUAACUUGCACCGAACGGCCAAAACGGUUACAGCCAGUUGUCCAGCUCAGCAGAUUAUUUCCCCCGGAGCAGAACACUGAGGCUCAAGUCCAUUUUCCUGUCUGUUGGAGAUAAAGAGGAUGCAUCACUGACUGAACAGGGAACAGAGAGGCAGAGAGACAGAGCAGCAAAGAAGAAGUUUGGAAGGGAGACAGACAGGGAAGUCAGAUAGCAAAAAGUGGAGAACAUAAACAGAAAGAACAUAAAUAAAGACGCACUGCGGCACAGCCAGACGACUAGAGUGGAGGCACAGGAGCUCACAGCUGCAGUCUACUGGCUUGUUUCGGGGAGGCAGAGGAGCCGAGCACUUCCUCUCAAAAUACCGUCGCUCUGCUUCUUUUUGCCGUUGAGGGAUCAUUUUCAUUGGGGCAGAGA